AGUGGUGACCCUUGAAAAAA
rnacentral:piRNA from 1 species